rnacentral:lncRNA from 1 species
GCCAACAGGAGUGUACCCCUCAGAUCAUCUGGUGCAUGGACAUCCUGUGCCAGUGGUAUGAUAUCCUGUGCCAGUGUGAUCCGAGCGCAACCGUCCAGUUGUAGACUACAGCAGAUCGAGCCUGUGGACGGAGAGUCCAACAGGAGUGUAUCCUUCAGACCAUCCGGCGCAUAGACAUCCUGCGCCAGUGUGAUCCGAGCAUGAGCGUCCAGUUAUGGAGGCUACCAGUGGUGGAAAAAAUGAGGCGUGACAUGCGAAACAUCAGUCUCACCCCCCGAGAAGCAGUACAUGAUCAACGCCAUCCUCAGCAAGGAGAUCUGCUGGAAGUGAUGUACUCUCACUCUGGGGACAACACCCCAUCCAAUGAGUGUGAUCUGAGGACCCUGCUUCACCGACAACACCAUGCCAGCCUGGUUGCCUGCAUGCCCCAGGUGCCCUUGUUUUUGAACAAUGUCUGGUACAGGGAGAGUUGCGGUUGUUCUAGCUCAGGUUCAAGGAGACGUGCCAUUCCACUGAACCUUCCCUGGGGACGGUUCCUUACCACUGAAGAUCCUCCUCUGUGGGCUCCCGGGACAGAGAGGAUUUGUAGUCUUCGGCCAGGUACAGGUCCUCCACUGACUGCACCUGGUUGGGCCCGGCUGGCUUCCUCCUCACACUCCACAUCCAUACAGCUGAUAUUGUGA